CGCUGCCGCUUCCGGAAGUGGAUCUUGUCUCCUCCCAAGCGGAGCGUUUGUGCCUGAACCUGCCGGGACUGCGACGGCAUCGCAGUGCUGCAGAAUCCCGGGGGCCAAGGGCGGGCUGCUUGCCGCUAUGGCUGGCAGUCAGGAUAUAUUCGAUUCCAUCGUGAUGGCGGAUGAGAGGUUUCAUGGGGAAGGGUAUCGGGAAGGCUACGAAGAAGGCAGUAGUUUGGGUGUGAUGGAAGGAAGGCAACAUGGCACGCUGCAUGGAGCCAAAAUCGGGUCUGAGAUCGGGUGCUACCAGGGUUUUGCUUUUGCAUGGAAAUGUCUACUGCACAGUUGCACCACUGAGAAGGACAGCCGAAAGAUGAAGGUCUUAGAAUCAUUGAUUGGAAUGAUCCAGAAAUUCCCUUAUGAUGACCCUACUUAUGAUAAACUCCAUGAAGACUUAGACAAAAUCAGGGGAAAAUUUAAACAGUUUUGUUCAUUACUCAACGUUCAGCCAGACUUUAAAAUUAGUGCAGAAGGUUCCGGACUUUCAUUUUGAGAACGAUGGAUGAACAGAGACUGAACAUCGAGGAACAGAUGUGUGUGUGACAUGUUUAGAAAUGCGGCGAAGGGCCAGACGGUGCUGGGAAGGCCGUCGUUCAGUGGGAGGGUGAGGCUUCCGGUUCGGCCGCGGGAGGGCCUCCUUCCCCGGGGUUUUUUGCCUGUGUCAUCUCGGUGCCCGCCGUGGGGCCUCUUCACAAUGCCCUUUGUUGGGCUGAAGCCAUCCCUGGCAGAGCCCUCGCGUGGCUGCUCCCUGCUGGGCCCACGUGCAUUGGCCUGACGGCCUCUUCGGCAGCACAGGCCUGGCUGGCUCUGGCCUGGGGUUGGCUCUGGAUAGGGUCAGUCCCCAGGCCUGGACUCAAGGCAGGUUUUUAAAUUUUUUUUUGCAAUGAGAGAGACAGUUGGCCCUCAACGAGGCUCGUGGGAGGUCUGGACGGGUGCUGUGCCGCAUGUCGAAGCCGAUUGUGUGCCAGGCCCUGCAGGACGUACGUCUCGUGUUUUAUUUAAUCCCUUCAGGAGCCCACGGGGUGGGUGUUACUCCCAUUUUACAGAGGAAGAAGGUGAGACAAGAAGGGGUUGCAUGGUCUGAGGGCAGCCAGCAGCAGAGCUAGGACUUCCGCCCCCAGGCCGUGCCUCACCGCCACCAGGCACAGCCGCCUCUGGAAUGCACAGGCCGGCACCUCAGCACUGGGAGUCCCUGCCCUCCCUCCCAGGCCGCAUGGGCCCUGCUGAGCCUCGAGGAGCACGGGGGAGUCCGUGGUGGCCAGUUUGCCUGGCCAUCUGGCUGAGAGGAAGAAAGGCCAGCCCAAUCCUGAGGGGACCCGGACAUAUCCUUCACACUGUCCCCAGAGGGGCGAUGAGCUCUGCAGCAUUAAAAAAUGGUGAAGGGGGGAAAUAUUUUGAACCAAAGACCAAAUGUUAGGAGGCCGUUAUAUUUGCAGAAACUGAGAACCGUGUGUACAGGCUGCUGCAUUCUCCCCUCUCCUAGGCGCUCUUUUGUCUCUGUCGGUCCUUAACGAGGUGCCAUACAGAGACAGUGGGCUGGGCACGGAUGAGCGGAGUGGAUGGUUCGGUGGGUCCCCACGAGUUUUUCGUUUGAGACAGAGUCUCACUCUUUCACCCAGGCUGGGAUGUAGUGGCGCGAUCUCGGCUCACUGUAACCUCCACCUCCUGAAUUCAAGCGAUUCUCCUGCCUCAGCCUCCCUGGUAGCUGGGAUUACAGGUGCCCGCCACCACGCCCAAGUAACUUUUAUAUUUUUAGUAGAGAUGGGGUUUUGCCAUGUUGGCCAGGCUGGUCUUGAACUCCUAGCCUGAAAUGAUCCACCCACCUCCACCUACCGAAGUGCUGGAAUUGCAGGCAUGAGCCUCCACUCCCAGCCUGCUUUUUCUUUUUGAAGACAAGACUUAGGUCUCCUCCUCCUGAACUGUAAACCUGUGUGUGGCUGUGCACCCCUCGUUUGUGGCCUCACCUCAGGUCUGGGGAAGUCUGCGUUGGGCAUCGCCCCGUUGUGCCUUCAUCAGAGCUGGUGCCUCCGGGCAGAAAGAUUUCCAUUCUUUCUAGAUGGCAGGAUCAGGGGCCUUUGUUGUGUUUCCCUUGGUGGAUUUUUGUGUUUUGUAAGUUGUCUGUUUUGAUAAUGUAUUAUUUUUAUAAUUGGAAAAAAGUAAAUAGCAUAUUUUAAAGUGAAAGUUUGUCUGGGACCGUUUAUAACAGCAUCGUUCAUAACACAGCAUCGUGUAUAACACAGCAUCGUUUAUAACACAGCGUCACCUGUAACACAGUGUCAUUAUAAAACAGUGUCACGUAUGACACAGCAUCAUUUAUAGCACAACAUCCAGCCAGUUUGUUUCUUCCUCCAGGGCAUUUCGGAUCUGGAUAUGAAGGAAGACAUGUGCCCUAGAUUUCUGCCAGCUCGUCUCCUUAACCCAGCGUAGACACAGCCGCUGCGAGAGUGGUUCCGUUGUGUUGGGGACUGGUCAGCUCCUGCUCACCUGGCCCAGCUCUUACUCAUCCACCCUCUCCGAGACAUCUCUAUCCCCGCUGUCCCCGACCUUCUCUCCCCUCCUCUUUUUUUUUUUCUUCUCCCAUCUCUGUCUCCUGUUCUCUCUCCCUACUCCCUGCCUGCCUCUUCGACACAGCUGGCUGAGCAGCAGACUGCCGCUUCCUCCUCUGGUUUGCCUCACAGGGAGCCAGGACUGCCUCAUCUUCAAGAUUCUCACACACUGUGCUGGCCUGUGCCUGCCUGGCCCCUUUCUAGAGGACGAGACCCAGUUUCCAGGAUCCCUUGGUCACCCCCGACACUGUGGUACAGACAAAGCCCACUGUAACAGUGGCAAGAAAAGAAUGAGGAGAUAGGAAGAAGGGACGAGAGGCCUAUUUGCUCGUUGGCUACUGCUGGCCCGCCCUUUACCGGGAUUAUCCACCAGUGCUGGAGGCAGGGCUACCACCCUCGCUUUGCAGAGAUACUGAGGACAAGUCCAGUGGUCACAGUAAGUGGCCAACUUAAGGCUUGAUGGGGCACAGCAGGGCUUGAGCAGGUUGCUUGAAUGAUUCGCUUCCUGAGGCCAUUGCUUUCUGAGAAUUUGCAGCCUGUCUUCAGGACCAGUCUUGCAUCUGGCACAGCAGUCCCCAGCCUUUUUGACACCAGGGACUGGUUUUGUGGAAAACAGUUUUUCCAUGGCCAGGGCUUGGGGGUGGGGAUGGCUUGGGGAUGAAACUGUUCCACCUCAGAUCAUCAGGCAUUAGAUUCUCAUAAGGAGCACGCCCCUUAGAUCCCUCACGUGCACAGUUCACAAUGGGGUUCCCGCUCCUAUGAGAAUCUAACGCCUCUGCUGAUCUAACGGGAGGUGGAGCUCAGGCAGUAAUGUUCUCUCGUCUGCUGCUCACCUCCUGCUGUGCGGCCCGGUACCUACCGGGUCAUGGACUGGUGCCGGUCCACGGCCUGAGGAUGGGGGACCCCGAUCUAGCAGAUUGAGGCCAGAUUGAGGCAAAAGCAGCUGGAUUUAUGGAAAAGGACCCAUGCCGGCUGCCUGUAGGAGAGGCAGUGCCUGGAUGGGUCCUUAGCUGCCCCAGACCCUGUGAGCAGGUCUCACCUAGGGAGGCCCCUGGCACUUUGGGAGCCCAGGGGAGAGGAGGGAGUGAGAGGGUGGGCACAGGAGGAGAUGACCUUCAUACCGAGCUUUGCGAGCGUUCAUCUGGCCUUACAACGCCGCAGGAAAGUCUCUCCCACUCCACCUGAAAACACCAGUGUAAUCUGGAGACACCAAAAAGGGUAAUUAACAUGCAAGUUUAUCCUAAUUCCCACAGUUAUCCUGAUCCUUAAUGAAUCAAAUGAGGAACUGGUUUGUGACUCAGUAAACUGAAGUCACAGAGUUCUUACGAUCUGAGAAAAAUGGGUCACUGUGUUUGGUGCUUCACAGGACACGGGGCCUGCAGGCGAGGAGCCAGGCCUCAAGGGUUCAGCGAGUUGUCCAAGCCAGCGUGACUAGGGUUCAGCUGGGAUCUCUCAGAUUAACUUCCAAGAAGGAAAGUCACUCCUUGCUCAUACACUUUUUCAUAACUCUCCUUGGCUGGUAAACUCAGGUGGCAUCGAGGCCUUGGCAUCUGCCCCUUGGUGACCCGCAUCAGGAUAGCGCCUUGGCUGUGUCUCCUCCCUGGCACCCUUUACCAGAGCAGCUGGGCCUUGGGUUGCAGGGAUGGAAGCCUCUAUCUCGGGCGACACCUGAACGUGUAGAGUAUGUGGUGCUUGCUGAGCUAGAGGCUCACGGAUUGGUGUCCCUCUGCUGGUUCCAGUGAGUAUGUGCCUCUGAAAUUCGAGGGGACUGUGGAGCCUGCUUCCAGGCUUUGAGAGCCCAAGUCUGUUGCAAAUUGAAUGUAUUCACAAAAAGGAACGUUGAAGUCCUAGCCUCUGGUACCUGCAACUUCAUUUGGAAAUACGAAAUGGGGUCUUUGUAGAUUUUUUUAAGAUGUGAAUGGGGCCAGGCGCAGUGACUCACACCUGUAAUCCCAGCACUUUGGGAGGCUGAGGUGGGUGGAUCACGAGGUCAGGAGUGGCCAACAGAGUGAAAUCUGUUGAGGUCAGGAGUGGCCAACACGAGACCAGCCUGGCCAACAGAGUGAAAUCCUGUCUCUACUAAAAAUAAAAAUAAAACCAAAUUAGCCAGGCAUGAUGGCGGUGCCUAUAUUUCUUUUUUUCUUUUUUUUUUUUUUAAUUGUACUUUAUGUUCUAGGGUACAUGUGCACAACGUGCAGGUUUGUUACAUACGUAUACAUGUGCCAUGUUGGUGUGCUGCACCCAUUAACUCGUCAUUUACAUUAGGUAUAUCUCCUAAUGCAAUCCCUCCCAUCGGCAGUGCCUGUAUUUCUGAGCUACUCGGGAGGCUGAGUGAGGCUAAAUCACUUGAACCCGGGAGGCAGGGCUUGCAGUGAGCCGAGAUUGCCUCACUGCACUCCAGCUGGGGCAAUAGAGUGAGACUUUGUCUCCAAAAAAAAAAAAAAAAAAAAGAUGUAAGUUAAGGUGAGGUCUUACUAGAGUAGGGUGGCCCCUUCGUCCAAUAUGACUGGUGUCCUUUGAAGGAGAGGGGAGCCGGCAGCCCAGAGAGACUGCCACGUGAAGACACGGAGCUGAUGGCCCUGUGAGGACGGAGGCCGAGUUUGGAGCUGCGUGUGGACCAGCUUACAAGAGCUGAAGGUCGUCCGAGGCGACCAGAAGCUGGGGGAGAGCGGGUACGGCAGACACUGCUGGCCUCUGGAACUCUGAGAGAAAUGUUGGUUGUUGUUUUGUGAAAAUGCAUUGUAGCAGCCACAGAAAACGACAAGGCCCCUCUCCCGGCCUGGGCUUUCGUUUGCUGGUCUGGAGGGUAAGGGUGCCGGCCGCACCAUCCAGACACUUCCCGCCUUGCACGCGGGGCCUCCUCAGGGGUUUGCCUUGACUCCCCCGGUCUCAGCCGUCACUGAGGGCAAGUGGCGGGAGCCCCUGAAAAGUGCUGUCGCUGCAAGGCUCCCUCCCUGAGAGGCCUCUGCCUUCUGGGAGGUGCAGCUGCCCUGCACAGAGGACUGAGGCAGGGUCCACCAGAGAAGGCUGGCUCGAUCCUCUCCCCUGGUCUCAGCCCCUGUGGGCACUAUCCGGCCUCGGAACUGGGGAGGUGGAUGUGGUCAGGCCUUUCCUCCAAGUCAGUUUGGUCACACAUGUGCUCUGUUACACUCAGAGUGUUACACACAGAGGGGUCUGUCCCUUCAGACAGCAGUUCUAGGCAUACCUCUGGGCACUGGUGGCCCCAAGAGGAGUCAUUCCCUGACCCUGUGGAACUCCCAGCUAAGCAAGACAGGCAUGUUGAAAUUCUAAGAUCACAUGGUAACUCUGUCAGUCGCUCCUGUUGUUUAUGUCAGUCAUACACGUUAGAUCUAGAAGAGGUAGAAAACACAAGCGGCCGGGUGCAGUGGCUCACACCUGUAAUCCCAGCACUUUGGGAGGCCGAGGUGGGCGAAUCACAAGGUCAGGAGAUCGAGACCAUCCUGGCUAACACGGUGAAACCCCGUCUCUACUAAAAUACAAAAAAUUAGCCAGGCGUGGUGGUGGGCACCUGUAGUGCCAGCUACUCAGGAGGCUGAGGCAGGAGAAUGGCGUGAACCCAGGAGGCGGAGCUUCCAGUGAGCCGAGAUUGCGCCACUGUACUCCAGCCUGGGCGAGAGCAAGACUCUGUCUCAAAAAAAAAAAAAGAAAAGAAAAGAAAAGAAAACACAAGGUGUAGUAGUUAAGGGUCUUUGAAAACCAAAUGACACAGUGCCCAUAUCCAACUGACUUAAUAAAGGACAAUGAUUGGCUCCUGGAACAAAAGGGGGAUGGCUUCAGGAGGGGCUUGAUCCAGCAGUUUGUCUGGAGACCCGUUACCCAUUAUCUGCUUUCCCUCAGGCUGGCCUUGUGCUCAGGCUCCCCUGUGAGGCUCUGGGAGCAGCUCAGUCUUCCCUUGGGGCUGCAGAGGGGCAGUGCCACCCCUGGGCUCGUGUUCCCCUGCUGGGAAUCCUAAGGAAGAGGGGGAAGCAUUCUCUUUUUCAGAAGCCCCAGAAAAUGUCUCCUCAAGACUCAGUGGCUCUAUUUGAUUUCUCCCCCAUCCAUUAACUUGCUGCUCUUCUGGUGGGCAUGGAUGUGCGGUUGGAUUUCAGCCUAUCAGGGCCUGGCCUGGAGCUGGGGAUGGGGUCAGUCCCAUUCAAGUCACAGAUCUGGGAAUGGUGGUUCUCCUGGAGCAACAUCUGGGUGCUGUCAACACCAGGAGGGGGCAUCCAUGGUGGCAAGAAAACCCAGAACUGUCCACUGAAUGGGCCAAAGGAGGGAAUUAAGAUCAGCCUUGGUGCCACCACCCGUGGCCACCGUGGCACGGGGGCCUGUGCUUCCAGACCUGGGUGGUGCGUGGAAUGGUGAUGGUGACUAUGCGGAUGCUCCAAGGGGAUGACGGCGUUCCCUGAGUGAUCACUGCGCCCCAAGCUCGGUGCUCAGCACUGCUCAAUACACAUUGAGCCAUUGAAUCCUCAGUACCCCAGACAGAGUUCAGUUAUUGGACAGAGAUUUACGGAGCCCCUGUUCUGUGCUGGUCAUUGGCAUGGGUAGGAGAUGGAGACGACUCCCCAUCAUGGGCUGUGUUCUUGCAGGCUUUCCCCAUGUUACAGGUGUGAACACUGAGGCCCAGAGAAAUGAGGCCACACAGCUGGAAUGUUGCAGAUCUGAGAUCCAACCCCAGGGCCUUUUACUCCAAAACGUGUGUGCUUAAUGUGUGUCUAUACAUGCUGGCGAGUUUUCUUUUUAAACAGCUGAUCGCCCUCAGAUGUCCACCGCUGGCCUGUUUGGCUGCCCUUCUCCAGGCCAGCAGCCAAGACACAGUGCUGCCCGCAGGGGCGACCGACUGGGAGCCUUGAAACAGGUGGAGCUGGCGAAGCAGGGCCCUGAGCUGUGUGCAUGGGGCCUGGCUGCAAAUGGCCCAAUGAAGGCUCCAUGCAUUUCCAUUUUUGAAGCUUGAGCCCUUUCUUCUCCAUGAGGCUGACCCACUAGGCUGGCUUGGUCACAUACUAGCUGUGCGGUCCUAGCUUAGUUACUUUACCUCUCUGGGCCUCAGUUUACUCAUCUGCAACGGGUCGGCAAACUACUACCCUCGCCCGAAUCCAGUCCGUUGCCUAUUUUUGUAAAUAAAGCUUUAUUGGCACACAA